GCAGCAGCAGCAUUUCGGGCUGCAGCUUCUUGCAGUGGCGAAUUUCACAGGCUGGCUGCGUGCGAGGCACACGGAGAACAAAAUCAGCAGCACGCGCAGGCAAAAUAAACGUUACCGAGAGAACAGCCACGAGGAGCGCUGGCGGUGUCGAACGUCCCCGUCCCCCCGUGCCUCCGCCGCGACCCGCUGUGCUUUGCCACCGGCUCCGAAGGCAGCGACGGCGGCAGGCCCGGAGCACGGCCUUCCCGGCGGGCAGCUAAGCCCCUCUCCCAAGACUCCCACCACGAAGCGUAAGAAAGCUGCAAGAGCCGCUGGACGCCGCGCUGCUGAACCGAAGGCUCAGAGACGCGCUGCGGCGGCCGCGCUGCCCUCGAACUCGCCACGUCCUGGUUAAGCUGAAUAUAGGUGCAAAAACACGAGGGUGGGCAGGCCGAGGACGGGCUGUGUCGUGGGAUGUGACCCGGGCUCCGAGCGAGGCUCCGGGAUUCGCCCCUCGCAGCCUCCGGGGCCGUCGAAGCAGCAGCGCGGCGGCCGGCGGCUGCUCUCGAGCUGGGGCAAAGGUGCUGCAAGGGGAGCGACUGCAUUUAAACAAGGAUUUACCGUAAGGAAAAUGUGUCUCUCCUCUCCUUUCUGGUACCAAGCCUGAACAGCGUUUUAUUCACGAGCACCUGGAAAGGAAACACCAACAUUCAGGCAGUUUCUUACUUCCCAAAUGCAGCCCCUUUCCCCACCAGGUGCCCGAUUUAUCCAGGUUUCGGAGCUGUAAAUUCAAAGCUGCUAUGUUUUUCUAGCAUGUUAUUUUCUUUCUGCCCUCACUAGUUCAGUAAGGAAUAUUUGCUGCACUGAAGAAGUUAAUUUAUGAGGAGCUUUUAUAUUUUUAAGCCUCAGCUCCAGACAUCACAUGAAAACACAGGGGGGAAAAUUGCCUUUUUUUUUUCUUUCUUUCUUAAAGUGAAUUUCUAUCUCCAGGGGUUGCAGAGGGAAGUUAGGAAGCACCAAGCAAGCGUAAUUCAAAGGCUUAAAAGCCAGAGGAAAAUUAACAGAGACGAGCUCCUGCAAGGGUGAAGGUGGCUGCUAGAUGCUUGUGUGAGCGUGAAAGCGCAGCCAAGGCCACCGGGCGCCCGGGUUUUUGCCGCACGGUUCUGGAGCUGUUUAUCCCCGUGGCGUCACUGCUUCACUGCACGCUUCGCUGGCGCGUCCCGAAAUAAUCGUUACAGGGCAGAGGAGACCUAAAGGCUGAGGCCGCUUCCCCCUCGUUUUUAGGAAUGUGCAACUAAAAGGUGGUUUAAAUGUUACCGCAUGCUUGAAGAGUCAAAUGGACCAGGUAUGCCCUGAUGUAAAAUAAUGUCUGAUGUAAAAUAAAAUAAUAUGCUGCCGGAAGAGGCUGCGACCUGCAAAGUCUCCCAAAAUUAUGCAUCAGCUACAUUUAGUGCUUUCAUUUGAAAGCAAUCAGCACGUUCGAUACAGGAAGAAGUUAAAAAAAAAAUCCAGCAACACAGGAAGCCUCUGUGUCUAAUAUAUUGGUAUAAAACAUGAUUGAUAUUUUAUGCUAAUUAAUUGAAUUCCAUCCAUCACCCUGAUUUGGAGGAGGAAAAAUGUAAUUUGUUUUUACUUUACCUUCAUUUCCAUACUCCAAUCAGAGGGAUUGGAGAACUACAACCGAAAUUGCCAGGUUUUGCAUUGUUUCGGUCUGAAAUCACUGAAAAACAGAGGAGUUUCUGCAGAAGAGGCAUUUCUGUAACACUUUGAAAGGAAUAAAUUUAUUGGUCACUUUUUCUUCAGUUAUAUAGGAACCUUUCACAGUUCCAGCCAAUAUCACAAAACUCCUGCAGUUCACUUGAAACUCGGCCCAGAUCUGUCCAAAACUUGGAUCAGGCUCAUAAACCUCAGACGAGUUUUAAGCUGAUGAUGAAUUAAGGUACAAAGUGAAUAUUUUCUCCUCCUGGAAUUUGUUAUUAAAAGUCCUGAGUUUCCAAAGUGGACAGAUAGUUCCUAACCGAGUAAUUAAUUACCUUCACCACGUCCUCUUUAGGUUGCAAGCUAUACAUUAAUGGAGCCCAAUCAUCCAAAAGGCACUUAGCACCUGAACAUUUUUCUCGAAAAGGGCAGGGGAGCCGUUUCACUGAUUUAUUUUUACAAGUAAUGGUUGGCUUGUAGCUCCCCUCGAAGCAGCUUCUUCCAGAUCCUUGGCAUUUGGCGGUCAGGAUGGAUACGGAUCUUGUGAACUCUUCUCAUCCCUCACAGAAAAACGCACAACAAAUUAAAACGAUCAGACGCUCCCUGGUCAAAAAUGUUGCAUUUUGAAUCCUGUCAAUGGAAAUAAAACCUGUAUUUUCUGGAAAAAUU